rfam:Alligator mississippiensis ScZkoYb_1.1, whole genome shotgun sequence.
GCUGCUGCAUGUGAUGAGGACCCCCUUCUUUCCCCAUCUGAGCGACAGUGUUGAGUCCUCGCUCCUUUUCAAGCCAAGUCUUGCCUGAUGCACCCGC